rnacentral:rRNA from 2 species
AAAGCUAUUUAGGUAGCGCCUCGUGUAUCACUGCUGGGGGUAGAGCACUGUUUCGGCUAGGGGGUCAUCCCGACUUACCAAACCGAUGCAAACUCCGAAUACCAGCAAGUGUCAGCACGGGAGACACACGGCGGGUGCUAACGUCCGUCGUGAAAAGGGAAACAACCCAGACCGUCAGCUAAGGUCCCAAAAUCCUGGUUAAGUGGGAAACGAUGUGGGAAGGCUUAGACAGCUAGGAGGUUGGCUUAGAAGCAGCCAUCCUUUAAAGAAAGCGUAAUAGCUCACUAGUCGAGUCGGCCUGCGCGGAAGAUGUAACGGGGCUCAAACCAGGUACCGAAGCUACGGGUUCAUCGCAAGA